rnacentral:rRNA from 1 species
AUUGAACGCUGGCGGCAGGCCUAACACAUGCAAGUCGAGCGGAGAGGCGGCCGGGUGAGUCAAGCCUAGGAAUCUGCCCGGUAGUGGGGGAUAACGUCGAAAAAGCGGCGCCAAUACCACAUACUAUCAGACCAGCCUAGGUCGGAUUAGCUAGUGGGUGGGGCAAAGGCUUACCAAGGCGACGAUCCGUAACUGGUCUGAGAGGCUGAUCAGUCAGACUGGGACUGAGCCACGGGCCAGACUCCUACGGGAGGCAGAAUUGGGGAAUGUUGGGCAAUGGGCGAAAGCCUGAUCCAGCCAUGCCGCGUGUGUGAAGAAGGUCUUCGGAUUGGAAAACACUUUAAGUAGGGAGGCGUUACCGACAGAAUAAGCACCGGCUAACUUCGUGCCAGCAGCCGCGGUAAUUC